rnacentral:tRNA from 1 species
GGGGUUGUGGCUCAGUGGUAGAGUGCUCACCUAGCAUGUGCGAGGCCCUGGGUUCAAUCCUCAGCACCACA